CAGGCCUAACACAUGCAAGUCGAACGCAUCCUUCGGGGUGAGUGGCAGACGGGUGAGUAACGCGUGGGAAUCUACCUUUUGCUACGGGAUAGCUCCGGGAAACUGGAAUUAAUACCGUAUGUGCCCUUCGGGGGAAAGAUUUAUCGGCAAAGGAUGAGCCCGCGUUGGAUUAGCUAGUUGGUGGGGUAAAGGCCUACCAAGGCGACGAUCCAUAGCUGGUCUGAGAGGAUGAUCAGCCACAUUGGGACUGAGACACGGCCCAAACUCCUACGGGAGGCAGCAGUGGGGAAUAUUGGACAAUGGGCGCAAGCCUGAUCCAGCCAUGCCGCGUGAGUGAUGAAGGUCUUAGGAUUGUAAAGCUCUUUCACCGGGGACGAUAAUGACGGUACCCGGAGAAGAAGCCCCGGCUAACUUCGUGCCAGCAGCCGCGGUAAU
rnacentral:rRNA from 1 species